rnacentral:lncRNA from 1 species
AGGCCUACAGGCUGCAUCUCACUGUAGUAGGCUGCAUCUCACUGUAGUAGACUGUAUCUCACUGUAGUAGGCUGUAGGCUAUAUCUCACUGUAGUAGGCUGCAUCUCACUGUAGUAGGCUGCAUCUCACUGUAGUAGGCUGCAUCUCACUGUAGUAGGCUGCAUCUCACUGUAGUAGGCUGUUGGCUGCAUCUCACUGUAGUAGACUGUAGGCUGCAUCUCACUGUAGUAGGCUGCAUCUCACUGUAGUAGGCUGUUGGCUGCAUCUCACUGUAGUAGACAGUAGGCAGUAUCUCACUGUAGUAGGCUGUAGGCUGCAUCUCACUGUAGAAGACUGUAGACUGCAUCUCACUGUUGUAGACUGUAGGCUGCAACUCACUGUAGUAGGCUGCAUCUCACUGUAGUAGGCUGUAGGCUGCAUCUCACUGUAGUAGGCUGCAUCUCACUGUAGUAGACUGUAGGCUGCAUCUCACUGUAGUAGACUGUAGGCUGCAUCUCACUGUAGUAGACUGUAGGCUGCAUCUCACUGUAGUAGCCUGUAGACUGCAUCUCAUUGUAGUAGGCUGUAAGCUGCAUCUCAUUGUAGUAGCCUGUAGACUGCAUCUCAUUGUAGUAGGCUGUAGGCUGUAGGCUGCAUCUCACUGUAGUAGACUGUAGGCUGUAGGCUGCAUCUCACUGUAGUAGGCCGUAGGCUGCAUCUCACUGUAGUAGACUGCAUCUCACUGCUGUAGGCUGCAUCUCACUGUAGUAGGCCGUAGGCUGCAUCUCAUUGUAGUAGGCUGUAGGCUGCAUCUCACUGCUGUAGUCUGUAUCUCACUGUAGUAGGCUGUAGUCUGUAUCUCACUGUGGUAGGCUGCAUCUCACU